ensembl:lncRNA
GACAGAAAUUGAAAUUAAAUGUAGGAUGAAGUGCAGAAAACAAAUAUCUGUAUUGAUAUGUAAUUGAGGCCAUGCAAUUGGCAUUGAAGAUACCUAUGUCACAAUACUGGAUUUCACUGUGAAGACAGAGUUGACUGUUUCAUGGUGACUGAGUUAAAUGGACAUCCUAGUUUUAAAGCAAAUAUUUUAUUAGUAACCUAUGUUUAUAUGAAUGCUACCAUUGCUGUAAGUGCAGCUAGUCUGUUAUUAGAGAAAAUGAGGCAUACAAAGGAUUAACACAUAUCUUAUUCUAUGUGUCACUGAUGUCAUCAGUAUCACAGAUUGGAAGUGCCACCAAAGAGAUAAAUUAUUCAGUCAUAUAGAGUAGGAAGUCCUGAAAAUAUCAGUGAGUUCUUGUUUCAAUGGUACUGACAUAGUAUAUUUUUCCUCAGUUUUUCCUCAGUUACUUUGUGGAAUAUGUAGAUGAGACUACCACAUACUGUAAAAAAUUUCAGAAGCACUCUCUGUGGCAUUACUGUCCCAAGUUGUUGGUUUUUUUUUUUUUUUUUUUUUUUAAUAAUCAGGAAUUCUUUCCUUUUUGUUUAUUUGUUUGUUUGUUUGUUAACUUUGACUUGAAAAUACUUGUCAACUAUGAAAUAAUAAGAAAUUGCUGAUAAUGAAGACAGUCUCCUCCUUUCCUAAAACACAACCAAGGAAUGCUACUUGGCUUGAGAGAAGAUACCGAAAACCCUGAGAGCCCUACUCCAAACCAGGAAGAAAUUUGAUUUGUUUUUCUGAAAGUGGCUAGGAAUAGAAAAGAAGUUAAGUAGGCUUCUUAGGUAGACAUAUGUUCAGGCAUACAAUCAAAAGAUUUUAAGUCCCCAUUUAAUAAUUUACAAGGCUUAUGCUUUCCUUGGAUACUUCCUUCACCAUACAAGGAAUACUUAUAGACACAGGCACCUCUAAAGUCUGAAGCUCGUGUACUUCUUUGUUUAAAAUAAAUCUUUGAUCUGAAUAUCAAAGAUAAGGAAAAAAUAGCAUAGGGGUAUUUUUUGCCUAAGUAAAUUUACAGAACACAGACAUAACUAUUUGUUAGAAAACAGCCCUGAAGGAGAGCUCCAAGAAAAAAAAAAUUGCUCUCAUGAACAGCAAAGUUGUAGUGAUAUCUUGCAUAUAGACCAUAUAGAAGGAUGUUUACCCUGUUGUGUUUUGCCCAAUGGAAACUGAAAGAAAAUGCUAUCAGACUAAAGAAGUACCUACAGAAAAAAACAUGGACAAUCACUUGAAAACAGGAUGAAAAACAGUUCAAAUAUUAAAACGUCAGAAUUACAUAAAAAGAAUAGCUUUAUUAAUGAACUUAUUUAUUGACUCUGGCUGCAACUUCUUACUGCAUUUUUUAGUUCACAUUAAGGGCACCAACCUACAAAAAGGAUGAAAGAAAUAAUACCAGAUUCACUUUUCUGAGCUCUAACUGUAGUAAAGAGAAAAUCUGUCCUAAAAAUUCUACUUACUACUUAUAACAUUGCCAGUGAUUUCUCCACAUAUAUUGUAGUACUAUCUUACUGGAGAAUUAAAAUUCAUACUCAGUUUUCAAUCACCUAAAAACUUUUCAAUUUGAUUUUGUGAUGCAAUAGUCUUGGAAUUAUCCUGCCCUAUCCAGUUCUUAAACACUAUAAACCUGUCAGAAUUCUUGUCAACAAUAUUCUACAUGCAGUUGGAAAUGACAGCUUCAUUUUCUUUUUGUUGAAACUGUUAUGAAGAACCAGGCCAUUCACUAUCCGAGUUACUUUCCUCAUUAAUGACAGAUGGUCUGAAAGAAAAAGAAAAAAAAUGUAAAGUCAAUAUUUGGCUUCAAAAUUAAAAAUGGACAUAUCGUGCUCCCCUUUCCAUAUUACCUUAAAAAUACACACUGGCCUGUCUUCACUUAGACGCUGGUAUUUUCUGAAAUUCUACCACCAGCUUCCUACUAACCGUGACAUAAGCUGUAGCAAGCUGUCUGCAGUGAUAGCCUGCAUAAAUCAUCAUUCCUGAAGGGAACAGAUGUUCAGGGUAUGAAAGAGUAAUACCACAAUUUAGUCAUAAU